rnacentral:tRNA from 1 species
UAAGAUUUUAAGUUAAUAAAACUAUAUACCUUCAAAGUAUAAAAUAUUUUAUAUAAGUCUUAG